AGAAUCAACGCUGGCGGCGUGCCUAACACAUGCAAGUCGAUCGAGAAAGUGGAGCAAUCCAUGAGUAAAGAGGCGCACGGGUGAGUAACACGUGACUAACCUACCUUCGAGUGGGGAAUAACCUGGGGAAACCCGGGCUAAUACCGCAUAAUACCUACGGGUCAAAGGAGCAAUUCGCUUGAAGAGGGGGUCGCGGCAGAUUAGUUAGUUGGCGGGGUAAUGGCCCACCAAGACGAUGAUCUGUAUCCGGCCUGAGAGGGCGCACGGACACACUGGAACUGAAACACGGUCCAGACUCCUACGGGAGGCAGCAGUGGGAAUUUUGCGCAAUGGGGGAAACCCUGACGCAGCAACGCCGCGUGGAGGAUGAAGUCCCUUGGGACGUAAACUCCUUUCGACCGGGACGAUUAUGACGGUACCGGAUGAAGAAGCCCCGGCUAACUUCGCGCCAGCAGCCGC
rnacentral:rRNA from 1 species